AUAAAUCAAGUAGGUUUGGAACUUUGCAGUAAAGGUUUGUUGAACUGUUUAGUUGUUGUUUGUUUGUUAUACAAGAAGGUAUCGAAGUAUUUACAAAAUGUGCAGAUUCAUAUGUUCAUUAUUUUGGCUGCUACUCCUGGUACUCGUCGCUUUUUGGUUAGCUCUUCUUGUCGCGGUGUUGUACGUUUUUCUCCUGCCCUUCACAGUCUGUAUAGGAGCGUUAGCGGGUCCCGCAGACUUCUUACUCGUCGUGGUACAGUUCCCGCGAUUCUGUGCAAGAUCUAUGAUGAUUGGAAAAGGAUUCAAGUAGUUUUAAGUACUGGUCUAGUCAAAUGAUUAUUUUAAUUAUUUAUCCUGAAUGUAUUAUCCAACAAAAAGUUUUUUUUAUCAAAAAAUGCGAUACGCAUCGGCGUAUCAUGAGCAAAUAAACAUUUAAUAAAAUAAAAUUAUAUUUA